rnacentral:rRNA from 1 species
UGGGGAAUAUUGGACAAUGGGCGCAAGCCUGAUCCAGCCAUGCCGCGUGAGUGAUGAAGGCCUUAGGGUUGUAAAGCUCUUUCGCCGACGAAGAUAAUGACGGUAGUCGGAGAAGAAGCCCCGGCUAACUUCGUGCCAGCAGCCGCGGUAAUACGAAGGGGGCUAGCGUUGUUCGGAAUCACUGGGCGUAAAGCGCACGUAGGCGGAUUGUUAAGUCAGGGGUGAAAGCCUGGAGCUCAACUCCAGAACUGCCCUUGAUACUGGCAAUCUCGAGUCCGGAAGAGGUAAGUGGAACUGCGAGUGUAGAGGUGAAAUUCGUAGAUAUUCGCAAGAACACCAGUGGCGAAGGCGGCUUAUUGGUCCGGUACUGACGCUGAGGUGCGAAAGCGUGGGGAGCAAAACAGGAUUAGAUACCCCUGGUAGUCCACGCCGUAAAACGAUGGAGGCUAGCCCGUUUGGGCGANCAUUGCUCCGUCAGUGGCGCAGCUAACGCAUUAAGCCUCCCGCCUGGGGGAGUACGGUCGCAAGAUU